AACCUGUGCAGCAUGUGACUGUACAGGACAGGCACCAGCCCAUCAGAAUGGACUCCAUGUGUCAACAACUAGUACUGAUACUAGCGCUGAUACAUUCCAGGUGGAUCUCAGCUCUGCUUAAGGGGAUCGAGACCUGCAGGACAGGACUGGUUGGGUUAUUUGAACUGAAAGAAAGAAAAGGCUAUAUAUACUGUAUGAUUCCAUUUCUGUAACUUUCUUGACAAAAUCAUAGAAGUGGAUAACAGAUUAGUGGUUGCCAGGGAUCAAGGUGAGAUGGGAGAGGAGUAUAGCCAUAAAAGGGCAACAUGAUGAGGUCCAACUUACCUAUUUUUCACUUAUGGCUUGUGCUUUCGAUGUUAAGUCUAAGAUCCCUUUGCCUCUGCCUAAACCCCGACAAUUUUCACCUAUAUUAUUUUCUAAAGGUUUUCUAAUUUCAUGUAUUACAUUUAAGUUGGUGAUCCACUUGAGUUAAUUGUUGUUCAUAAAGAGUAAGAUUUAGGUCAAGGUUCAUUUUUUUGCCUAUGGAUGUCCAAUUGCUCCAACAUCAUUUGUUGAUAAAUCUUUAUUUUCUCCAUUUAGCUGUUGUGCACCUUUGUCAAAGAUCAUUUCACCAAACUUGUGUGGGUCUAUUUAUGGGUUCUGUGUCCUAUUCUAUUGAUCUAUGUGUCUUUCCCUCCACCAAUAACACACAGUCCUAAUUAUUGUAGCUAUAUGAUAAGUCUUGAAAUUGGGUAUAGUAAUUCCUCCCACUUUAUUCUUCUUUAAAUUUUGUUUUUAUUGAGGCCGGGGAUGGUGGCUCACGCCUGUAACCCCAGCACUUUGGGAGGCUGAGGCAGGUGGAUCACCUGAGGUCAGGAGUUCGAGACCAGCCUGACCAACAUGGUGGAACCCCGUCUUUACUAAAUACAAAAAGUUAGCCAGAGGUGG
rnacentral:lncRNA from 1 species